rnacentral:rRNA from 1 species
AUUGAACGCUGGCGGCAGGCUUAACACAUGCCAGUCGUGCGGGGUGAUGGUGCUUGCACUAUCACUUAGCGGCGGACGUGCGAGUAAUGCUAAGACAUCUGCCCCUUAGUGGGGGACAACAUCUCGAAAGGGAUGCUAAUACCGCAUACGUCCUACGGGCGAAAGCAGGGGAUCUUCGGACCUUGCGCCAACAGAUGCGCCUAAGUCGGAUUAGCUAGUUGGUGGGGUAAAGGCCUACCAAGGCGACGAUCUGUAGCGGUUCUGAGAGGAUGAGCCGGCACACUGGAACUGAGACACGACCCAGACUCCUACGGGAUGCAUGAGUGGGGAAGAUUGGACGAUGGGGGGAACCCUGAUCCAGCCAUGCCGCGUGUGUGAAGAAGGCCUUAUGGUUGUAAAGCACUUUAAGCGAGGAGGAGGCUACUCUAGUUAAUACCUAGGGAUAGUGGACGUUACUCGCAGAAUAAGCACCGGCUAACUCUGUGCCAGCCGCCGCAGUAA